GUUCAGUUUAUGCGUCGAAUAGGUUUUCGUUGGUUUACCAUUUGCUUUACCUUUUGUGUGUCGGCAAUCUCUGCUUAUCUCCAUCUUGGUAUCGCCUUCAUUUCGUCUGAAAUCCUGUGUUUUUCGUCUUGCAAAAUAUUCAUCGCAAAGAUCGUCGUAUUCUUUUUUUUUUGGGGAGUUUGUUUGGGUUCUCUGUUUUGGGACAAGUUUUGCAUCUCUGUAAAUCGUUUCUCCCCAAUUGUCAUCGGCUUUCCGACCAAUUUUUGGUGCGGUCUGGGUGCGAUCUUUGUUCAGAUCAUCGUAUUUGAACGAAACCCUAACAGUUUGAUUUGAACGAAACCCUUAUAUGAGAGUUGUUAUUUCGAAUUUGCAUUGAUUUGAACGAAACCCUAACAGUUUGAUUUUUUGCUGAGUUGUGGCAGUUUGUCCAGGCUUUGUCGGCUAAGAGCGGAUUUUGCGUUUGGUUUACUCCGCUGAUAAAUCUGAGAUUUAACAGGAGUUCGAAGGCUACUGUUGGUUUGGGUUUUCCAAGUGUACAAGGAGGUUGCUGGGUUGAGUUCGGUUACACAGAUAACGCUGCAGUAUACCAUACAAAGGUUUUUUUUCCUUUCCCUUUGCCCCUUUUUUGGGAUAUUGAUUACAAAAUCUGUUUUGAGCAUAGGUGUGAAAUUUGCAGUAGGGGUUAGUAAGUUAAUUAGUUAAUUUCAUUCUCAAUGUGCACAAAUGUUGUUCCUGCAUUAAUUCAUUUUCUUUGUAUCGAAAUUGAAUAAAUUUAAUUCUCCUUGAUAUCCACUUAUUUUGCUAAGAUAUGCAAUACAAAUAUCUGCUAUCUCCUACCUGUAAACGUAUGACUUAAAAUCAUUUCAUUGACAAACUGUGCCCAUGGUCUUGAUUUAUUUUUGAAAAGUUGUUUCUGAUUUUAGUUGUUAAAGUCAGUAAUCAAUUCUGCUUAGAUUUUUUGGUAGCGUAAGUGCGUCUACACUCAUCCCUAAUCUUGCAUACACAGUGCAUCUCUGUCACAUUGGUGAACUAUGGUAUUGUUUGUUUUAAUUAAGAGCCACCGAACUAGAUAUAUCUGAUCCAUCUUUUUUCGCGUAUCAUAUCACUUUUAAACCUGUUUGAUUGAAUUCUGCCAUUUACACCAAAAUACCUAAACAAUGACAUCAAAUUUUGAAGUAAAAAAUCUAAUAACUUUACUAAUUUUCAGUUUCAUUCAAUGACACUUCCUUUUCAAUUACUUUAAUUUUAACAUAUUUCACUUUCUUUAGAUUUGUAUUUAUGUUGUUUCUCUCAUGCUCUAUCACAAUAUAUCAGUUACUUUAAAUUUAGUUCUAAACGUUUUCAACAUAGAUGAUCUUACAAAACUCACUGCUGUACUUAUCUAAUUUUUAAGUUUUCAGUAUUUUUAAUGAAUAGUUUGGUAUUUAGGCAGCUUCGAUCUUUGAUUUCAAAUAUGUGAUUUUGUCUAAUUCUUUAUGAUCCUCAAUUUCUAUUGUCGUAAUGGACAUUUUUGAAUCACAUUGGUUAACACCAAACAAAUGGUAUGUGUCAUAUUUCUCUUUUUCUAUUCCUUUACUUUUAUACAGAGUUUUGUUUGAAUGCCAUCAUUUUCACAAGCCCUUAUACACCCUUGAUUCAAACUUCAUCAUUCUUCCCUUGUACACCCUUGAUUCAAACUUCAUCAUUCUUUAAAUAUCUGUAUAUAUUAUGCUCACACGUUUUGUAAUCCUGCAGCAACGCACGGGCACUAUUUCUAGUGUUUACUAAACCUAACUUCAAGGUUUACUAGGUCCAGACCCAAAAAAAAAAAAAAAAAAAAAAAAAAAAA